UACGUAGGGGGCAAGCGUUGUCCGGAAUCAUUGGGCGGAAAGCGCGUGUAGGCGGCUCGGUAAGUCUGCUGUGAAAGUCCAGGGCUCAACCCUGGGAUGCCGGUGGAUACUGUCGAGCUCGAGUCCGGAAGAGGCGAGUGGAAUUCCUGGUGUAGCGGUGAAAUGCGCAGAUAUCAGGAGGAACACCAAUGGCGAAGGCAGCUCGCUGGGACGUGACUGACGCUGAGACGCGAAAGCGUGGGGAGCAAACAGG
rnacentral:rRNA from 1 species